rnacentral:tRNA from 1 species
GGCUGUGUGAUCUAGUGGUAUGAUUCUCGCUUAGGGUGUGAGAGGUCCCGAGUUCAAUUCUCGGCACAGCCC